GGUCGAUCGAUUCUCGGGGCGAGUGCGAGUGUGAGUGCGGUUAACGUGCCCGCCUGUAGUCGACGGCGGUGAUACGUCGAAUCCGCGCGCGAGGAAUGAUUUAUGGAAAAACAAGGAAGCGCGAGCGCGCGGACUUUACGGGUCAUGUUUAGAUUCACGAGUUGCACCUGCAACAUCUUCCAUCGCGCGUUUACCAGCGUGUUUGCCCGUCCCUUUAUUAUUUCUACGCCGCAUUAAGGGCUUACCUUGUGCGCUUCGUAUAUGGUACAUAAUUGUGGGGUACAUGAUUUACAUACUGUUCCGCGCGUCGCGAUUUAAUCUAACAUUUUGCUGUGCACGAGGUCAGAAUUUCGCAACAUACAUUUUGACAGUGUUUCUGCGUCAAGAUACUACGCUGAGAUAAGAUUUUUUAAUAAUGUUAUGGUGAGCAAGCACCAUUGUUUCUUUACUAUGGUAACCCUGAAGCAGACACGUGGAUGACAUACGUCAGACAGCCUUCUUCCUUAAUACAUCUCUUUAAAGAUGCAUCGGUAUUGUCUGAUUUCUAACCGUGGUCUAACCGUGGGAUCGUGAAGGUUCGAUGGCUAAAGGAAAUGACCAGCUAAAGAGUCCGGGGUGAAAGCGACAAGCGUUUCUGGGUCACCACUUUGAAAGUUUCGUGAUGCCGUAAAAUGAAGUCGGUUCUCGUUGGUCGCCUCGUGCUUUCGUGGGUCGUUAGACGCUACGGCAACGAUUAUUGCGACGCAUACCGAUUGUAAUACAAGUUCAAAUCGCAAGCUAGAACACUUGAUUUUUAUGCGACGAUUUAACUUGUCCGGAGGGAAACAUGAAAAAUAACGCUUUGUUCAUUACAUCUCCUAAAAUAAUUUCUCGAGGUGACUGCACGAGGAGAAGUCAGAAUUUAAUAAAAUUACAAUUUAUAUGAAAGAUUCUCUUAUAUCUUAAUUGUAUAUCGCUGAUAAUAUAUCUGUUUGCAUUUGCUGAUAGAUCUGUUAGUAAUAAUAUGUGAGAGCGCGAAUCUUAUUAAAAUGUUAAUAGUUGCUCGACGUUUUACUCAUCUCACGAUGAACUCAUUAUUUUCUAGAGGCGCAUUUAACAUCUCUUGCGUAUAUUUAAAGUAGCGAGCGAGAAAACGCGAGAGCGCAACGUAGCGUGUGCCACGCAAAUCAGUCAUUUCUGUUGGUUGCACCUUAAAAAAAGCAGUUGCAUCAGACCGUCAGCGAGAAGUGAAAAUGCGCAAAGUGAGAUUCGUGGACUUUUUAUUUUAUCAAAACUCUGAGCUCUAGCAUUCCUUUGCACACAAUGACUCAAAAUAAAAAUUGCCUCCGAAAAGGAUGAGCGUAUUUACGGGCGAAACGCGAAUUUGUAAUCAACUGAUUUGGCAGCGUUUUAAUUUCGUGAUAUACGACUGACAUUAGCUGAUGAUGCAGCUUGGCGUAGGCCGGCUAAUGACCGUAGUCGCGUCAAGAGAAUUGAUCGCGCACUAUACGUACUAAAAAAAAAAAGAAAAAAAAAUUGAAAAAGAAGGAUGUUCUCUAAGUUAUUCUCCCUCCUUCACAUUCUGCCUUUCUCGUUGGCCAGUUUGGACAACUUCCAGUUAAACGAUCGUAACUGCUUACAAAAAACGCUCGAAAAAGAUAUAGUUAUAUAAAUGUCCGCAUUAACGUACCGCAGAUCCAUUCUUUCGAGCCAACUCGAGAUUUUGCAAUGUGAUCUCUAUCUUAUAAAGUGCAACAAUAUUCUUAUGAGAAAAUGAUCCAAACCGCGCACAUCAUUAAAUUGAACUAAAUAUUAUAAUGACAUAUUUCAAUAACAAUUAAUGUGUGACAAUAAAGUAUUAUAAUAAUAAUUAUAAUAAUAAAUGCAUACUUGUAUAAUAUUAACUUUAUUCUUAAUUUUGUAUUAUCUUCUACUUAUAUUUGCAGCAUUAUAUUAACUUUAUAAUAAUAACUAGUUAUGUUUUUGACAAAACGCCAACAGAUGAAAUUAAUAGCAAAUAGAUAAGGAUAAAACGCGAGAAAUGCACGAGUAAAAAUACAUACGUUAUAUCACAUUUACAUUCGUUAAAAAGAAUGAGCUGAAAGGACCGAAAUUUAUAUAGCACUGGAGCUUGAUCCGACUGAAACAACCGCAGAACCCCGGCGCACUAAAAUAAAUUGUACAACCUGCAGCGUAAUUGCUUUACGCAUCCAGACACAUCGUUACUGUCGAUGAUUAUUCAUUGUUUUAUAAAUAGUCAGCUCUUGGUGUCGCGUGUUAUGUCUGAUACAGCUACAUUAUUCAACGAGACUCAGAAAAGAGUGACUGCAAAGUAAAAACAGGAAAUGUUGCGAAUGUGUGACAAACAUUUUCUAAAUUUUGCGAAUUAACUUGUCGAUUGUGUCGAGUUUUUUUUAUCUAAACUUAAACAUUAGUGACAAAGCGAUAUUUAAUUAAGCAAUAUUAUAAUUGUUGAAUUGAGAUGGAAUCAGUAUUUUCCACGAUAUAGCCCCGUUUUUUGAAUAAAUAUAAUAAAAGUCUGUUUUUGUUAUUCUUUAUUAUUUAUUUAUGUUUUUUUAUUAACUUGUUAUAAAUUUUUUGCCUUUUUAUUAAUUAACUUUACAAUAAUUAAAUGUUCAAAAUAUUAUUUUUAAAAUAUUAAAAUAAAAAAAAUGUGUACAUAAAUACAAAUUCAUUCCUUUUCCCAUUUUUGCAUUAUAAAUGAAUCUAUAAGAGAUUGAAAAAUUAAAAGUAAAAACUAAAAACGUUCUUCUCAAAAAAAAAAAAUACGACGGCAAGUCGUCGAAAUAAUGGUUUUAAUGGAUCUCGAUCAGCUCGAGGAUCUCGAAACUAAUUUGUGUGCUCAAAUACAUACAUUCGAAGUCCAUAGACGUCGAUUGCAAAUUUA